AGAUUGAACGCUGGCGGCAUGCCUAACACAUGCAAGUCGAACGGGAGUAGCAAUACUCUAGUGGCGGACGGGUGAGGAAUACGUAGGAAUUUGCCCUUAAGUGGGGGAUAACCCGGGGAAACCCGGAUUAAUACCGCAUGACCUCGAAAGAGCAAAGUGGGGGAUCGCAAGACCUCACGCUUUUGGAGAAGCCUACGUCGGAUUAGCUAGUUGGCGAGGUAAUGGCUCACCAAGGCGACGAUCCGUAACUGGUCUGAGAGGAUGAUCAGUCACACCGGAACUGAGACACGGUCCGGACUCCUACGGGAGGCAGCAGUGGGGAAUAUUGGACAAUGGGCGCAAGCCUGAUCCAGCAAUGCCGCGUGUGUGAAGAAGGCCUGGUUGUAAG
rnacentral:rRNA from 1 species